CCCUCCAGGAGGCCUUCAGUACCUUCGGUGACGUCCUUGAAUCGAAGGUCGGUUUGCGUUGUCGCAUAGAUUGGAUCUGACCGACCCCGUUUGGCUUUGUCGAUCCAAGAUCUGUGAUCUGUUUGUGUUACUAUAUUCUCUCUGUUACUGUUCUUUUAUGUUACUAAACGAAAACCGGUACGUUCUUCAUCCUGUGGGCGAAGAUCGAUCGAAUAUUUCUUUAUUGUUUUUAUACUUCAGUUGAUUUGUAUUUCUCCGUUUGUGCUUAGAUCUGAUUGUUUUUCUUGAUUCUUUGUUUAGAUUAUCAAUGAUCGGGAGACCGGUAGAUCUCGUGGUUUUGGAUUUGUGACAUUCAGCAACGAGAAAUCUAUGAGGGAUGCUAUUGAAGGAAUGAACGGUCAGAAUCUUGACGGCCGUAAUAUUACUGUGAAUGAAGCCCAGUCUCGCGGAAGCGGAGGCGGAGGAAAUGGGGGUUACAGCCGUGGCGGCGGCGGCGGCGGUUAUGGUGGUGGAGGACGACGUGAAGGUGGUUAUGGAGGGGGCUACAACCGUGGCGGUGGUGGAUAUGGUGGCGGUGGUGGGUACGGUGGAGGCCGUGACCGUGGAUAUGGAGAUGGGGGUUCUCGGUACUCCAGGGGUGGAGGAGCUUCUGAAGGGAACUGGAGAAAUUAGGAUGUAGGUUUUAUGAUUUAAAUCUAUGUUGGGUUUGGGUGUGAGUUGGUUUAUCGUUAGGGUGC
rnacentral:lncRNA from 1 species